rnacentral:rRNA from 1 species
ACGGAGGGUGCGAGCGUUGUCCGGAAUCAUUGGGCGUAAAGGGCGCGUAGGUGGCCCGGUCAGUCUUUGGUGAAAGCGCGGGGCUCAACCCUGCGUCGGCCAGGGAUACUGCCGCGGCUGGAGCACUGUAGAGGCAGGCGGAAUUCCGGGUGUAGCGGUGGAAUGCGUAGAGAUCCGGAGGAACACCGGUGGCGAAGGCGGCUUCCUGGACCGACACUGACGCUGAGGCGCGAAAGCGUGGGGAGCAAACAGGA